rnacentral:lncRNA from 1 species
AUGACUACCUUGGAUACGACCAAAAAUAUUGCAUACAUGCAUAUUUGUUAGGUGAUUUCUAAUGCAAACUAUUCAAUAAUCUAUUUAUGUUAUCCAGAACAAAAAUACUUCACAUACUUUUGUGUUUUGUCUAAUUGCAGGUGUGUGGGACAUUUGUACAAUCCACAUAUGAAGAUAAGGGAAAAGGAGAAGUUUAGGUUGUGUUCAAAAAGUCCUCUCACGUCACUUUUGGGCCAAGAGAAGAUAGAGUCCAAGUCUCUCACGUUCUGGAUUCAGAUUCGGACUGCACAGACAUACCUGACUCAAAACACCAACAACUUUUUCAUACGGACUCCGAAUUGGGUGAUUCUUUUUUUGUUGGAAACUAGAUUUCGUUCUCUUUCCAACCCAAUUGGAUACACCUUCAAAUUCGUCCGAAGCGUUGAGUUAUAGACGAAACAAUUUGACGUUGCAGCAAAAUCCGAGUCAAACUACAAGCUCAAAGGUGUUGCAUCACCUCCACUUGGGCCCAUGAGCCUUGUACGACCUAGGGUUAGUUUUAGGCUGCCUUGGGACGUCCUCCCACCUCCUUGGCCGCCACCCCUUGCUCCUAUAUAAGUAGAUCCAUCUAGUAGCUUUUUCCUUGGGGAUUUGUUUAGUUAAAAGUUAGCCAUUGCAACUUCGUGUACUUCGUUUGUGUCCAACGACCAGACCAAGACCGCUUCCGCAUCCGCACCAUUAUCAAUACUUCAUAUAUAUUUGCAAUAUUCAGAUUGCUUUAUCAUAUUCUUGCUCGUUCUUUGAUUGCUUGCAGGAAUAGACCUUCGUGGUCAGGCUGAUCGUGCUUCCAGCAUCGUCAGUAACCUCAGGAGAUUGGUUUAGCGAUUGCUAAGGCGCAACGUUGUGCACGUUUGUAGUCGGAUCGUCAAAGUCGUCUCCACCAAAUCGAUAGUUAUCAUCUCAUCGAAAGAUCGGGACCCUCGCCUCUAUCAAGUGGUAUCAGUUUUCAGGUUGCUCGGUGUGAAUUUCCAGUUUUCCUAGAUUAGAUUUAUUUUCUUACCUAUUGUCCAAGAAAAAGCCACAAAAAAGAGUUAGAUCUAUUCAUCCUUGGUCCAAGCCAGUCUGAGCCUUUGCAAUUUUCUUUUCAUUGCUUGCAUAGUUGAAUUAUCGGUUGCAUCAUCGUGUCGAGUUGCUGGUCUUAGUGUCUCGUUCGUUUAGAGUUUCGAGUUCUGUUCACAUUAGUCACGCCACCGCUGCAUCAUUAUCUCUUUCGCUGUCCACCACCGAUCCAUCAAUUUCCACCACGUGCUACCCACCAUUCAUUGUCAUAAUAAUAGUUGAGAUCGUUCACAUCUUCACUUGAUCCAAUCUGCAUCUUAUCUAGUUUGUUUUGGAAAGAGGGAGAAAAAAAGAGAAAAAAAGGAGAGUAAAAAAGAGAAAAAAAUCAUAGAAAAAAAAGGAGAGAAAGAAAAAAAGUGUGAGGAAAAAAAAAGAAGAAAAAAAACAAAAUUCGGAUCUUUUUAGACUCAAUCUCGUAGUUGAAUUCAGAUUGGAAUCUGUUUUGUGUACUGUUCAGUAAAACAGGCAUAACUUCCUCAUAUGAAGUCUGUUUUGCCUCCGCGAGUACUCAAACGAAAGCUAGCGACGAGCCGUAUCUAAAUAGUUGAAGAAGCAAGUUCAAUAUUUGUCACCUCAAAAUCGGCUUCUAAAUAGGUCUUUUUGCCCUCCGAAGUUCAUGAACACAGCUUAUUCCAGUUUUUCAGGACAGUUUUCGAAUUUUUUGACUCCUCAUAUCAACUCGGAAUUGAGUGAUUCCUUUUGUGUUUGAAAGCUUGAGCCAAUACCAUUCUUGAAAAAAAAUCAAAAAAAUCGGCACAAACUUUUUUAGAGGAAAGUUGGAGACAAAGUUGUUGAUAUAUCGUGCUUGGCUGUUGUUUCACAUCAUUAUCUUUACUGCCGUUGUGAUCUUCACUUAUAUCUUGCUGUCCAGAGCUACUUAGUAUCCUUCAUCAAUGCUAUUUGUGCUACAACGUGACCUCAUUAGUGUUCUAGGCUCGCGUCUCUAGUUCGGUCUAGCCUAGGACCAGCACAGUACCGUCGUUGAGCGUUUAUUCAACAUUGCAUCUCUGAAUUAAUUAUUGCUAAUCUUUUGCUACCAUAUAUAGCCAACCCAGCUCCACAUAUUUCUACACUGUGUAUACACACGUUCCCCUGGCAAUCGCUUUACACAAUCUUCGGAGUUAUUUGACACCGCUGGUUGGCUGUCACCACCUGCCGCAUGGUAAGAACUUGUAAGGUAUUGAUAUUUGCUUUACUGUGAGCACUUUACAACCACAUCCUAAUAGUUCAUAGGAACAUUAUUCUCGAAUUUUGGUUCUUGUUUCUACUAAUCAUGACAGGUUCCAGAGAUAAAAGUUCUUGGACAACGGACACAUCUUCACCAUCACGAGAGUUGGGACAACACACACAAGCAUAUGGUCAGGUUAUCUCUUUACCAUAAUUUGAGGGUAGAUUUAAUCCUGCUAUUUAUCUAGCUUGGGAGCUUGAAGUAGAACAAGGUUUUAGUCACCAUGAUUUUUCUGAACUUGAGAGAGUACGAGCUACCAUUAGAGCAUUUACUGGUUUUGCUUCUGUUUGGUGGAGUAUACGUUGUAAGAAAAACAUUGAUAACCAACCCACAACUUGGAAAGUUUUGAAAGCUAUAAUGAGAGAACAAUUUUUUCCUCCUUACUAUCGUCGUGAAUUGCGUCGCAAAUUGGAGCAAUUAAAACAAGGCAGUAACACUGUUCAUGCUUACUACCAAGAGUUCAAAUCUUAUAUGCAUCAUUGUGACAUAGAAGAAUCUGAGGAUGAUACAAUGAAUAGAUUUUUUGGUGGUUUAAACCAUGAUAUUCAGGCAAGAUUUCAGUAUAUUCCUCAUUGCAUUACUGGUAUGUAUGUCCGUGCUUGUACCUUUGAGAGACAGAUACAGGAGGAUACAUUGGGUGACUACAACAACUACUAUUCCAGUUCAUGCUUACCACCGCCGGUUGGUUACUCCACUAUUGCACCUACUAGAGCAGCCCCACCUCGGAUUAUGAGCGCGAUAUCAUCUCAAGAGUAUGGUACAUUGUCAACGUCCGUACCUACAUCAGCUACAUCUCUGCGAGGUAAUAGUAAAGGUAUUGAUGAUAUAACUUCACAUGAGAAUGAAGCAUGCCUAGUUAACUUGAAUGCAUCAUGUGUUGAGUUACCUGUUGAUUUGAGCACACCACCUAUUUUAUAGACUCUUGUUACUGUCAUGAAUGCGUCAUGUGAUCAAACAACUGAAAUAUCAACAAUUUUGAGUGCACCCAUUGAAUUAACUGUUGAUGCAAAAGAACCAAUGUUUAAUCAUUUUGGUAUGACCUCUAAUCUUGAUGACGAUUCUGUGUCCAAUGACUUAUUGCAUGUUUGCUUAUUUAAGCAUGUUGUAGCAUGUAAAUUUGAUGCAAGUAAGAUUUAUUCAUCGAAGUUAGGAUGGUUUAAUGAUGAACAUUGCCAAUCUUUUGAAGUGAAUAAGAGCUUCACUUAUAUGUGCAAACUAAGUUCCAAUAUUUUCAUGCCUUCUACUUCUUGUGAUGAUUUUUUGGCUUUAGAUUUUAUGAACAAUGAAAAUUACUCAUGUAUACAUGUGACAUAUGUGCAAAAAUCAAGGGAAGUUAAAAUGGAUGACAUAUACAUAUACAACAUGUACACCUUGUCUUUUUUGUUAGCCACAUUUCAGAUUAAGCAAUGCCGAGGACGGCUUUGUUUUCAAAAAGGGGAGGAUGAUGAGGACAUGACUACCUUGGAUACGACAAAAAAUAUUGCAUACAUGCAUAUUUGUCAGGUGAUUUCUAAUGCAAACUAUUCAAUAAUCUAUUUAUGUUAUCCAGAAAAAGAAUACUUCACACACUUUUGUGUUUUGUCUAAUUGCAGGUGUAUGGGACAUUUGUAUAAUCCACAUAUGAAGAUAAGGGAAAAGGAGAAGUUUAGGUUGUGAUUCAAAAGUCCUCUCACGUCACUUCUGGGCCAAGAGAAGAUAGAGUCCAAGUCUCUCAAAUUCUGGAUUCAGAUUCGGACUGCACAGACAUACCUGACUCAAAACGCCAACAACUUUUUCAUACGGACUCCGAAUUGG